AUCGAAAGCUGCUUUUCGGUCUUGUAACGACUUAUUUCUUUUUGACGGUUGGCUGAUAGAAGUAUCAGUAAGAUUGGUGGUUCGGCGGUUAUCCAUUUCAGUUCAACUUCAUCUGCUUCACCGUAGUUUUGUUCGACGCCAUGGGUUGGUUUCAGUAACGGCCGGUGAGGCAGUUACGGUCUUUUGUUCCACACCGACUCGUACUUUUCCCGUUUCGCUGUCUCCAUAUGGUCCCUACGGAUUGAUUCAAGGAAUGAUGCAAAGAUGAAUUUUCAAGACUGGUUGAAAAAACUGCUGCUAUCCCGAGAUUCUUCAGAACUUCAAUAUCUCAUUUUUUCCUUUUCCUCCACCCCAUCGGGGGCGGUGCCCCUGAUCGGGUGGCCUACUGUGCGAGCCCUUGGAGUUUGCAAUUUUUAACGUUGCAGAUUACCGCGAGUUUUAACUUUACUAUUACUAGUAUUUUUUCAAAAUAUUCUAGUAAUUUCAGCAGAUUAACGUCACACCUUAUGUAAAUAUGCAAUGGUUUGUAUAAAUCUGAUGGUUUGUAUAAAACUGGUCUGUGAGUUCUCUUAACAGCUAACGUGCAUUAGAUAGUCAUUUGUUAGGUGUUUUUAUGGUAUUGAAUUCAUUAGUUUAAUCCACUCUGGUUUUAGUUACAUCUCGCCCUAAUACUGUGAUUUCAAAGGCUAUUUUUUGGAAUAUAUAACUUUGGUAAGUUUUUCACACGUAACUAAGUUUUCAGUUGAGGUCAGUUUGAUCUUUAUAGAAAAACUGUUGAAUGAUUAUUUCUGGUUUUUCAAAGCUCCCUUUCCAUUUUUAGUUUUGGAUUAUGAACUCUAUUAAAAUCUUAAUCAUGGUAUAACUUUUUAGACAUUUUGUAAAUGUUAGUAUUUUGGAGGUUUGAUGUUCUAUGCUUUUUUUAAUUCGAAAAUAUUAUGCACAAAGGAAAACUUGCGUAAUGAGCAACAGUGUACGUUAACAUUUAUUUUUUUCUACUUUGUAUUAAGGUUUGCUUUUAUAUUAGUUUUAUCCAAAGUUUUUCCUGUUGCUUUUCAUGAUUUACAGGUGACCUUCUUGCUCCGAAGGGUUUAGAACGGCGGAAUCAAGGAUUUGGAGAUUGUGUGAAUAGUUCGUGAAAUACUGUAGUCCUUUUUCUAUCGGUUACAAAAGUGAGGCUUUCCCAAUUUGAGUUUUGAAGUGUGAUAAAACAGGUUUUGAGAAUAAAUCAUUCUGUAACUGUAGAUUCGUAAUAGAGGUUCUAGUGUGUGCACCAUCCUGCAAUUACCAAUGUUUGUAACCACAUAAAAUUUACCUUGAUUGUCAGAAAAAUGGUACAUAAGCUGUUAAGAGUUGUUGUUAAGAUUCAAGGAUGUAAGAUUUUUAAGAGGUUUGUCUUAAGUUCUAAUUUGAAUUAGUACUGUAUGUAAAAUUGUUAACGAAUAUAACGAAAAUU